GUGGUCCCACUGAUGCCUGGUUUUACACACCAUGAAAGGAAAACAUUUUAUAAACCAAAACAAGAGCUAUCCCAUCUUCUCACUCUAGAGAUCAAGAGCACUCACAAUCUGCAGACUCCCUGAGUGGUGGCUCUCUGAGCCUAUAUGAAGUCAGGCUCCACACAGUCUGAAUGUUUCAACAAUCACUGGCCAGCCUGCACUUCCACUUGCAAUGGCCUCAAGGUUUUCAUUUUUGUUUUAGUUUUGUGUUUCUUUAAACUGCAAUUCACAAUAGGAAAUAACAUUUUAUAUUGUGACCUAGUAUACACACACAGUAUAUAGAGUAUUUAACAAUGUUUGAUCUUGCUCCAUGCACAGCUCUCUUCUUUUCUAUUCCACUUUUGAAAUAUUCAGGGCUUGAGCUGUUAGACUGAUUUCAUGGACCACUAAUGGGUCAAGACUUAUAGUUUGAAAAACAGUGCCCUUGAGGAUGUUGGUUGAUCUUGAGAAAAGGUAAAAAGUAAUGGCCCUGGAACCUAAAACAGAUUUCUCUGAAUGGUGUUGGCUGGCACACAAAACACCCACCCUACAUGGCUACUUCCACUUUCAUGGUGUUCAGCACACACCUUCCAACUUCUACCGGCAAACUGACCCAGUACCUUCUCCCAGUCUUCCUUGUACAGGGGCUCUGGCUUGGCCUGAAGGGUCAAUGGAUGACUGGAUAACUAAGGUGCAGAAAAGUCAGCACUGUGUCUCCUCAUUGUUUACCAGACAGAAAUAGGACGCUCCUUAGAGGAUAUUUCCAUGGGUGCAUAUGUGUUCACUGGGAUAAUAUCACCGCUACCCCCAUCAGAAAAAAAAUGAGAGAAAUAAUUAUGAUAGAAAAAGUUAAUAAAAAUUUCUUACUAAUUUGAGGCCACAGGAUAGUUGGAAUGGAUUAGGACUGUAGAGGAGAAAAGGGCCAGGGAAGGGACCAGAAAGUAACUCAGCUGUAUAUACAGAUGAUGGGAAAAACCACCCGGUCUCACUUGGGAAGGAGCAACUGACAUUCACACUGUAAUAGGGGAGCCUUUGGAGACGUGCACAUGUUCUUUGGUUCAGAAAGUAUUUUAUAGAAAUGAGGAAAUCACAAGCUUCUUUUUGUACCAGAAAUCAACAUUGCUAUUUCUAAUAAUCACAGCUUUCUGGAGAAGAGUUGGCAGGAAACCAAACUCGGCCUUGGGUUUUACACAACAAUCAUGGACCAGAAUAUAUGCUGGACUAGCAUUGAGGUCCUGGAGCCACAGCUGACACCUAAUACAAAGAAAGAACUGACUUAAAACUCAGGACCUCAUUUCAUAGCAACUACUAAACAACAAGCUUAACAUUCUCAACAAGCUUAAAAACUUCAAACUAUCGAACAACAAAGUUAAAGUUUUCAAAUAGAAAGACAUUAAGUGUAGUAAAGUAUAAUUCAGGGCACUGUUUUCAAAUAUAAUAAGAUUAUAGACUCUGUUACAUUCAAGAAAAAGAAUACAGAAUCAAAUACAUAAUUGUAAUGUGUUAACGCUAAAAAGAUGAUGCAUCAGAUCUACUGUUUCAAUGAGAACAACCUAAGACAAUUGAAAAACUACUGCUCUUGACACUGUAGGUCUUUCUACUUUAGAAACAGAAGAAGGGACAGGAGGUACUGACAGGUAGAGGACUGGUGAGAAAGAGUAAGAAAAGACAUUUGGAGGUUCCUCUUGGUGAGGGAACAGAAGAGGCGUACUGGCUCUGCAAAGGGCGAUAGUUACAGGACCCACUCCUGCUGGCCUCCUGAGGGCACCAGAAGACUCUCUCUGCUAGUCUUUCAGGCUUUUGCCCUUUAUCAUGGGCCAACCAAGGAGUUAUGGGCCUGCCUUUUUGUUUUUCUGAGAAUAAAAUCAUGAGACUGGAGUAGGUAAUGAGGUACUUGGCUAAUGGCACUGAAUGGAACUCCGGGAGAGCAACACUGCGGAGGAGGACAACCUGCUGGAUUUUCUGACUACCUCUGCUCUCAGGUUUAAUUGUAAUGUCUGCAGAAUCGGAAGAGCUCAGCAACAGAGAAAAUGUGCCAUCAAGGGAUCACACAGUAUCAGGUGACUAGAAAUUUGUCAUCUUUCGAUUCAAUUUAUGUUCAGCAAAGAAAAAAACACAUUCUGGAGGAAAUUAUUGAUAAUAAACAAUGCAUUUUUAUAAUAAGAGGAAAAUCAAUAAUAGUGAGUAGCAGGAUUUGGUCAGGAAUACAUAUAAUUACGGUCUGGCAUGCUGUUUAUUUUAGCUUUUACAACAAAGCAAAGGGUUUGAGGAACCUUAGGAGCAUUUCACAAGUCUCUAGUCCAAAAAACAGUUUAUAAGAAUUUCAUGGCACAUACAACAUGCAUCAAAUCUGUAUUAUUUAAUAACUAAGAUGCUGUAUCAUUCUUUUCAUGGUUCACAAUCACACACUCAUCUUCUUUCACUUGAGAAAGCCCAUUCAUAUUAAGGUGUUUGAACAAAAACCAAGGAAAAAAACCCAUGACCUUAUUUUUACUAAUGAUUUUUGUUCUGAUGAGCUAUACCAGGGAAUGAUUCUCAUUUGAAUAACUAUAGAGAAAGCAAACUGUAAAUUUUCAAUCUGUUACCAACAGGACAGGUUCCUGGGUUAGACUGUAUGGUGCAUUCCUAUAUUGUGAGAGGGGUUAUCUGGUCUGAAGCAUAACUCCUAUUUAAGAUGGUGGGAAUUUUGUUUAUUUCAUCAUUAGCAGUGAGUAGAAAGUGGGCAUUGUUAAGGCUUCAGGAAUUUUCCUUUAAAGUGGCAAUCUAUCAAAAAUGUGAGCUGGGCAAACCAAGUAGAUCCCAUGGAGAUGGCUUGAGGAACUAUUUCUAAGGCAUCAGAGUUCUGAGGAGGGCUUUCUCUUUUGGGUUAUGACAUUCAUUUUACAAGCCUUUCUUAAGAUGAGGCUAGAAAGGAUAUUCAAUCUGUAUUAUAUAUAAAAAGAUUGUUUUUUAUAUUCAUGCUGUGUAUUUGAAGUACAGUUCAAACCUAUCCUUUAUAAAAAUAAGGAAAAUAAUAUCAAAAUAUUUAUCUGUAAGAAGAACAUGUUUCUAAAGAAAUCACCACUAAAGUUCUCUUGAUACCACUGAGGCAAUGUUUGAUUUGAUUAUUGAUUUGAUCACUCCCAUCACUUAUUCAGAGAGUUGGAAGUAAGCAUGAGAGAAGUUUAAAGUGUAAACUCGGAACAUUAAUCUUAGCUCCAUAUGAAGGCUAAUUAUGGGCAAUUUCUCCACCAGUGCAGAGAAUCACCUGGAGCAAAUAUUUAAAAAAUGUUUCUCUUAUAAAAUAAUUAGAAUUUUAAACCAAUGCAUGAUUCAAGUUAGAAAACCAGAGGAGUUGAAAUAUUUUAAUUACAUAGCUGUUUUACCUGAUUCUAACCGAUACACACACAUAUAUAUUUUAUGUACUUAAAAUUACUUCUGUACUAUGGUUCCCAAACAGGUUUAGGAAGGUACAUGGUAGAAGCUGUAAGGAUUAAUCACUGUGUCUUCUGGUAGUGUUCUCUGUCAGAGGGUUGGGGAAGGCUCUCUUGCUUCUUCUAGCUUUGUGAGGAUCCACUGUUGUGAGGAAAUAAAACAACAUAUGCUUACUUCUAUGAACUUGUAAUGAAACUCAAAAUGUACUGAAUGGAAAUAUAGAAGUGGGCUUCUCAGUUUAGUUAGGUGUAUAAUCAUAGCCAAUAAUUCAAUUUAUCUUAUGUAAGAGAUCAUUUACUCACUUAAAUGGCUCAGAUGACUCAGGGUCAAUGGCACUGAUUUUUUAUUUAACAGUAAGAAUAAUGUUGUUUUAAGGUCACUGAACUGGCAUGUUCAUCUUUAGAAUAAGAAAAGUAAAAUAAACCAUCCUGAGAGAAAGGGUAAUUUGGCAGCUGGGCUAACUCAGGCACAGUGUGCAAAUUACGUAUGCAAAACUCCUUCCAACCUAUGCCAAUUCUGUCCCAUAAACCUUCAUUAUUCCAGAUACAGUAUUCUUCUGAUUAAGAGUAAGUACAUAUUCUACAGUGGGUAGGAGUAGCAUAGCAACAUUCUUGAGCACUUUAGGUGUUCUCAUAAUAUAGUAUUUUCUAUUUUGAAAAGGUUUGAAAUCACAAACAUAAAACACAUAUGUAAUGCAAACCUUUCUAUCAAUAAUGUCUAUAAUCAUUGGGCUUGUGUGACUGAUAAAAGCCUUGGAGGUGACACUGGGUCAUCCCACUAUGAAACACUUUGGCAGAGGUAUCUGUGCUUCUUUACCUUAGUAAGAACCUAGUGGGAAUAGCUCUAGGAUGAGGAGAGAAGGAGAACUGAGCUCAGUAGCCUUUUCUGGAUGUUUCCAGCAGAGCUGGAAGAUUAAAAACAAACCUUCUGGGACAAAAAAACAUGGUGACAGAGAUUACAUGGAAAACGUAUUGCAGAGCAACUGAAAUAGGUGGUAAUGCUCUUCAACAAUGUGAAAGAUGGCCUCAAAGUCACACUUUUCAUUCUCUAGUCUGUCUCCCUGUUCCAGGCAACACACAUAUCGAGGCUCUAGUCACUUUCUUCCUCUUUCUUUGUAACUUGACCCUUUCAGUUAUCUACUGGUAGUAUGCCAGUGUGGCCUUGUAUCCCAAUGGCUGGAUGGAAAAUUGCACGGCACAUGCUAAAUGGUCUGAGGUUCCUAGUUUGGGGCCCAGAUGUGAGAGUGAACCGGUAAGUAGUCACACCCAGUCAGGACCAAUGCAGUAUGAGGGCAGGAGGCCCAGGGAUUCAGUAAAGGAGCCUUGUGUUCUUAUAAAUUUCAUGACACAGUGAGUACAAUUCAGUAUCAGAAAUAGCAUCUUAGUUUGAUUAACAAGACAGAUAAUCAGUCUGUAGUCUUCCUUUUUUUGACAGUACACCUCCUUGUAACUGCCAUAACCCCUAACGUAUGCACAGCGCUUUUCAGCUCACAUAAUUCAUAUUUUUCGGCAACUGAGGUUAAACGACUUCCCCAAGGUACCACAGUCAAGAAGGAUCAGAACCUGUCUUCAGACCUGGAUUUUCUGACUACAGGCUUGGCUCCUUCUGCUAUGUGCCAGGCUAUAGCAAUUGUUUGUAAAUCACCAUAGCUACACAGAGGAGAAAUCUACAAUGUGGGGCAUCCGUUCCUGCUGGAGCUGGUAGAUUAGCAUUAGAAUGAAAUAACUUCUUUCGUUUGACUUUUUCACAAGUAUUACAGUUAGGAUUUAAAAUCAGAUGGCGCCAUUUGACACAAAAAACAAGUAGGUGUGUUGAAUUCAAUCUAAUGAAAAGCAGUUUUGGCGAAAUAUUAUCUAGUCACAUAUAUUAAAACAGUCAAAGCAGAAGAACAUAAUUAAAAACAAACAAAACUUGUCUGCCUUAGAAACAGCCCAGCUUCCAGGACUAUGAAAAGCAAAGAUGCUGUUUUCAUAAGAGAACCGUUAUAUUUACCCUAGCAUCUUCUGCGGUCUUGAAGUUAAUUAUUUUUCCAAACUCUUUGGCAUGGAAUACAGACUUCACUCGUUCCUAUAAACAGAAUAAGUGACUUCAUUAAAAAUGAAAAAUCAGUUGUAGAAAUAUGAUAAAGAAAUGACAUGUAGUUUUAAAAACUGGUGCUUCAAGCGUCCAUUUUACACAAAUCACACACCUUAAAAAAAAAGCCAAGAAUGGGAAAUCAAGAAGAAUCAAAGACAAAUAGAAGAAAGAAAAGACUAAACAUUAACACAUCCAUUAUCACUAAACCUAAGUUAAAACGCCUUAGGUGUGAUGUUAUAGCUAAAGCCAUAAAGGGUUUACACAAAGGAUGGGAGGGAGGUAAGUUUAGGAGGAGUGCCACUGUUUUUCCCUCCAAAAAACUUUUCGGUGGUUCUUGAUAUCUGGCCAUGGAAUAAUGAUGAUUUUAGCUCAAAAAUGAUAUAUACAUAUGUGUGUACAUGCAUACAUACAUGCACAUGAUUAUGGGUGUGUGUGCAUGUCUGUAUGUAUCCAUGUAACUUCUGACAUUUUAAACCACUCAUUGAAUAAGAAUAUAGCUAAAGAUCAAAGAAAUCAGGGUGGGUCCAAGAUCCUAUAUGACAGUCUUCCAAAUUUUGCACUCCUUCAGUAUUCUGUUCAGUGUCUGUGGGGAGAACUGCCUCAUAUACAUACUAAAUAUUAGAGGGACAAACAGAAAUGGAAUUCUUGAGGAGGAGGUUGGUGUUUAACUGCUAUUAACUAAGGGUAGGGUCAUAGAAGAGGCAAUGUGGAGGUUUUUACUAGUCUAACAAAUCCUUUAAGUCAUUCCAAUAUCCAUGCAAAUAUAGACUCCAAAAGAAAUCAGAUUCUUUUAUUUUUUUUAAAAAAGGAUGACUACUAAUACAAUGUCUCAAGAAUAGGUAGAAGGGGCGGGGGGGAGGGGGCGAAAUCAAGGAGAUAAGAAGUUUAUUCAUGGAAAGAGGAAAAAAAAUGGGAAAAAAGCCAGGAAAGCAGUAAAGGCUAGAACAGGAUCUAACAGCCACUCUUCUUUAUUUCAUAGGUGGCCACAGGGCCUUUCAUUUUCUGAAUGAAUUAGAGAAAUUCUCAAUGGGAAAUGUUGGUCUAACAUCCCCCGGAACUAAUGUCUGGUCCACUCCCCCCACUCUCUGAACUGAGUGGUAAGAUUGGAGAAAUGCUCUUCACUGGCUAUGUAUAGGGAAGGACAGUUUUGCUCUGGAGGCCAGCCCAGAAGACAUUUGCUGCUUCUGCCUGCCUGUGCCCAGUGCCACUACUCCAUUAAGCACUUUCUGAAUCUCCUCUGGGUAACUAUUUCUCACCUUCUCUCACACCAACACUUCAGACAGAGCUGACCCUUCCUUCCUGGGAUUGAUUUAGGAAUAAGCAAGUGACCAAAGGUGCCCCAUUGUGAAGCUUUCAUUCUGCUGAGCUACCAGGAUAGAAGCCUGGAACUUCCCUGGCCAUCCUGUCAUCAAAAAAUAGCCAACUCGAGAAUGAAGCUGCCACUGAAGAAAGCAGAACCUAGAGAUGAGGGUGGCGCAGAAGAGGAGCAGGAAAAAGGAACGGAAGGCAGGGAGAAUAAUUGCUAAUGACAUCAUUUGAGCAUAUCUAAGUUAUAAGAUAAAGACUUAAGACUUUUCACUUUACAUGAGUCAAUUAAGUCUCUCAAAAUCAAAACAGAACAAAAAUAACCAAGAAAAAACUUACCUCGGUUGAGUCACAAUAUUUCCCAACACAGUCAGUGCCAAAGGGGCCCUACACAUAUGUUAUUUUUUAUCACAUAUACCUACUAUAUUACUAUACCUAUAUACUACUACAUCCUACAAUGCCUAGUGCAGUGGUCGGCAAACUGCGGCUCCCGAGCCAUUUGCGGCUCUUUGGCCCCUUGAGUGUGGCUCUUUCUAAGCCUUAGGAGUAUCCUAAUUAAGUUAAUAACAAUGUACCUACCUAUAUAGUUUAAGUUUAAAAAAUUUGGCUCUCAAAAGAAAUUUCAAUUGUUGUACUGCUGAUAUUUGUCUCUGUUGACUAAUGAAUUUGCUGACCACUGGCAGUGCAAUCAUUACAACUUACAAUGGAGUCUCUAUUGAUUUCCCAAAUGACUAGAAAUUCACUGUAUUUUACAUGAACACCCAAUGCCAGGCAACGUGCUAGCUGCUGGUAAUCAAAACAGAGAAAGAAAUGGCCUCUGCCUUCAAGAUUAUAACUGAAUUGGGAUAGGAAUGGGCUAAGAAUAUCUAUAAAAAGAGAAGGAACUAUCAACUAUCACCUGUUAUUUUGCAAGUGUCCUUUUGUGAGAUUUUCAAGGAAAACUAUUCUCCAUGGCACUGCUAGGGAUUUUGAGGUAUGCAAAUGAUUCUCUCAUUUUGGUGUCUUGGACAGCGGUGAGAGGGUAAGGUUCUAUUACUGAAUAUAAAAUAAGGACCCAGGAAUGUUGUUGUCAACGUGCAGCAUAUUUCUUCUUGGCCUACCUUUCUUUUCUUUAAACCUGCGUAAGACAGCAGGUAUAAAGGAAAACCAUAGGAAGAUAAAGCAACAUCUAUAAAAGAGAGGAAACUUACAAAAGUAAAGAGGACUAUCUCAAUGCGCUAUGUUCAGUUCCAAGUUUUAAAAAAAUCUAUUCAACGUACCUUUGCUUCAAUUCGCAAUCUUCUUCCAUGAACAAUGAAUGGCUCUUUGGUAAACUCAUCAAAACUGUACUGCCACUCACAUGUAAGCUGUCCAAAUGUUCCUUUUGUUACAAACAAUACCCCACUGCAAAAAAAAAAAAUCACUUUGAAAAUCUAGACUCUUAUAUCCAACAGUAUAAUAAUAUCAGGAUACACAUUCUUUUCAAGUGCACACAGAACAUUCACUGAGACUAUAUUCUGGGUAAUAAAAAACCCUAAUGAAUUUAAAAGAACUGAAAUCUUAUGAAGUCUGUUCUCAGAUCAUGAUGAAACUAGAAACCAAUUAACAGAAAAAUAUGACUAUUUCUAAAUGUUUAAAAAUUAGCAUACUUUUAAAUAAUCCAGGGGUCAAAAUAUCUCAAAUGAAAUUAAAAAAAUAUUUUUAACUCAAUGAGAAUGAAAAUAGAUCAUAACCAAAUUUGUGGGCUUCAGCUUAAUCAAUAUUAGUGGGGAAUUUAUAGCAUAAUAUACUUAUAUUAGAAAAAAUAAAGUAGAUAUAAAGUCAAAUAUAUAAGGUAUUUUAUGAGAAAUAUAAAAUAUUUGCAGAACCUAUUAUCAACCAAUAUUUUGGGGAACUUUCAUGUCAUCAAUACUACAGAAUAAACACUUUUAUUACUGAGGCUCCAUGUAAUAUGUUUACCAACCUACAACAGAAAGAGGCUUUUAAAAUUAAUUCUUGUUUUCUUUCAUUUGGAGGGAAAAAAUAAAGCAAUGAAAAUGCAUUCUAUAAUAAUUCUAUUUAAUCCUCCCUUCAAAGGCUUUUCUUCCCCAAUUCUUCCUUCUGGUUGAGACAUCAAUUGCAGGUACAACCAGAGGUUUCUUUAAGUAACAUAUACAUUAAGGCAUUGAGAUAAGAAAGAAAUUUACCUUUUGGUUAUCAUUAACAUAUCUGUUUUAUUGAUCAUGACAUGGGUAAAAUAUUUGUAUUUUGCAAAUCUUCCAUUUUCUAUGACCUAAAAAAGGUGAGAAAAAAAUCAAUAAUUAUUCCUAUUGUAAUGUAAGAAAUCCCUUAUGAUCUUCUAAAACCAUUUCUUAAUGGGGUCAAGUCAUUAACAUAUUUCUAUAGUAAAUAUAUCAUCAGAAAACUGAAUAUUCACAAAAUAAUUGCUCCUACUUGUUUAAAAGCACCUAUGUGCACUGCUUUAUUCAAGAUUACUCAAUUGUAGUUAUACCAAUCUUUAAUGCUGAAUUUUUAAAAGAAAUCUUAAUACCUUACAAACUCAGAGACAUAAGUUUACUAUUAAACUAUCACAUUCAUUUUAUCUUGGGAACUAUAUUAGUAUUUGAUCACAUCUAUACAAAAACACAUGUAAACACACAUAUUUAAAUAUAUGUAUCACAUAAAUUACUAUUAACUCUCAUCUUGCCCCUUCCCUGGAAUUUUCCUACCUGCCUUACAUAUAUGCUUUUCUUUCUCAAUCUCACAACUCAUCUACAUGUCCCUCCAACCAUCCGACCAGUCUCUAUGAUGUGCACUGACCACCGGGGGCAGACGCUCAAUGCAGGAGCUGCUGGCCAUUUACAAAGAAACGACACUGCAGAACUGGUGCCAACAAAACAACACUUGGCUUCCCCCAAGUGGGACACAGGCCCUGCCACCACCCCGGAGAGACAGCCCACCAAAUCGCAACCAAUGCUGCUUAGACCCCAUGGCACAAAAUGUGGCCCACAGCUCAGCCCAGCCCAGAAAUGGUGGCUGAGGGCGCCAGGUAAUGAUGUCACAUAGCAACACCCAGCUUCCUCUCCCUAGUGAGUAGCCUCCUUGGAGUUUCUUCAGCCCAGGAACAUGACUUGCUUUAUAGCCAGGUGCAAACAUUUCAAACUUUAACCAAAUGUCUGUGAAGCAUUUUCCCAUCUCAUUUGACCCUCACAGAA